rnacentral:rRNA from 1 species
GCAAGUCGAACGGGCUCUUCGGAGCUAGUGGCGGACGGGUGAGUAACGCGUGAGAAUCUGCCUUCAGGUCUGGGACAACAGAAGGAAACUUCUGCUAAUCCCGGAUGAGCCCUUGGGUAAAAGAUAAAUUGCCUGGAGAUGAGCUCGCGUCUGAUUAGCUAGUUGGUGUGAUAAAAGCAUACCAAGGCGACGAUCAGUAGCUGGUCUGAGAGGAUGAGCAGCCACACUGGGACUGGGACACGGCCCAGACUCCUACGGGAGGCAGCAGUGGGGAAUUUUCCGCAAUGGGCGAAAGCCUGACGGAGCAAGACCGCGUGGGGGAGGAAAGCUCUAGGGUUGUAAACCCCUUUUCUUUGGGAAGAAGUACUGACGGUACCAAAGGAAUCAGCCUCGGCUAACUCCGUGCCAGCAGCCGCGGUAAUACGGAGGAGGCAAGCGUUAUCCGGAAUGAUUGGGCGUAAAGCGUCCGCAGGUGGCCAUGUAAGUCUGCUGUCAAAACCCAGGGCUUAACUCUGGUCAGGCAGUGGAAACUACAAAGCUAGAGUUCGGUAGGGGCAAAGGGAAUUCCCGGUGUAGCGGUGAAAUGCGUAGAUAUCGGGAAGAACAUCGGUGGCGAAAGCGCUUUGCUAGACCAAAACUGACACUCAGGGACGAAAGCUAGGGGAGCGAAUGGGAUUAGAUACCCCAGUAGUCCUAGCCGUAAACGAUGGAUACUAGGUGUUGCCUGUAUCGA